rnacentral:rRNA from 1 species
AACGAACGCUGGCGGCAUGCCUAACACAUGCAAGUCGAACGAGAUCUUCGGGUCUAGAGGCGCACGGGUGCGUAACGCGUGGGAAUCUGCCCUUUGGUUCGGAAUAACAGUUGGAAACGACUGCUAGUACCGGAUGAUGACGAAAGUCCAAAGAUUUAUCGCCAGAGGAUGAGCCCGCGUAGGAUUAGCUAGUUGGUGUGGUAAAGGCGCACCAAGGCGACGAUCCUUAGCUGGUCUGAGAGGAUGAUCAGCCACACUGGGACUGAGACACGGCCCAGACUCCUACGGGAGGCAGCAGUGGGGAAUAUUGGACAAUGGGCGAAAGCCUGAUCCAGCAAUGCCGCGUGAGUGAUGAAGGCCUUAGGGUUGUAAAGCUCUUUUACCCGGGAUGAUAAUGACAGUACCGGGAGAAUAAGCUCCGGCUAACUCCGUGCCAGCCGCCGCAGUAA